rnacentral:tRNA from 1 species
GGGGCGGUAGCCAAGCUGGUCAAGGCAGCGUGCUCAUAACACGACGAUCCGCGGGUUCAAGUCCCGCCCGCCCCACCA